CCCCUAGAUGUUCUGGGCCGCACGCGCGCUACACUGAACAGUUCAACAAGUCUUAACCUUGGCCGAUAGGUCUGGGUAAUCUUUGAACGCUGUUCGUGAUUGGGAUAGACCUUUGCAAUUAUGGGUCUUCAACGAGGAAUUCCUAGUAAACGCAAGUCAUCAGCUUGCAUUGAUUACGUCCCUGCCCUUUGUACACACCGCCCGUCGCACCUACCGAUUGAAUGGUCCGGUGAAAUCUCGGGACGGCGGCUUGGUCGCUUGCGUCCGACUGCUGAAACUUGAUUAAACCUUAUCAUUUAGAGGAAGGAGAAGUCGUAACA
rnacentral:rRNA from 1 species